rnacentral:rRNA from 1 species
UACAGAGGCCUCGAGCGUUAGGCGGAAUCACUGGGCUUAAAGCGUGUGUAGGCGGACUUCUAUGUACCUUGUGAAAUCCCACGGCUCACCCGUGGAACUGCUCGGUAUACUGGUCGUCUUGAGCCUUCUAGGGGCGAGUGGAACAAAUGGUGGAGCGGUGAAAUGCGUAGAUAUCAUUUGGAACGCCAAUGGUGAAAACAACUCGCUGGGGAAGUGCUGACGCUGAGACACGAAAGCCAGGGGAGCGAACGGG